GGGGAAUUAGCUGAGGGUUAGAGCGCUUGCUUUUCAUGCAAGAAGUCGGGGGUUCGAUUUCCUCAUUCUCCA
rnacentral:tRNA from 1 species